UGGCAGUGAUGACGAAUUUAUAUAUACCAUCAAACUAUGAAAGCUAAAUUGAGCUUGUUGAUGCCAUCGAUAAUCUCUGAGCCU